UACGUAGGGUGCAAGCGUUGUCCGGAAUUAUUGGGCGUAAAGAGCUCGUAGGCGGUCUGUCGCGUCGGCUGUGAAAACCCGGAGCUCAACUCCGGGCCUGCAGUCGAUACGGGCAGACUGGAGUUCGGCAGGGGAGACUGGAAUUCCUGGUGUAGCGGUGAAAUGCGCAGAUAUCAGGAGGAACACCGGUGGCGAAGGCGGUUCUCUGGGCAUGACCUGACGCUGAGGAGCGAAAGCAUGGGGAGCGAACAGG
rnacentral:rRNA from 1 species